GACGAACCGUGCAAACGUUGUUCGGAAUCACUGGGCUUAAAGGGCGCGUAGGCGGGCCAGCCAGUCUGUGGUGAAAGCCUCCAGCUUAACUGGAGAAGUGCCGUGGAUACUGCUGGCCUCGAGGAGGGUAGGGGCGUGUGGAAUUCCUGGUGGAGCGGUGAAAUGCGCAGAUAUCAGGAGGAACACCCGUAGCGAAGGCGGCACGCUGGACCCUCACUGACGCUGAGGCGCGAAAGCCAGGGGAGCGAACGGG
rnacentral:rRNA from 1 species